UGCGAACUCCUACGGGAGGCAGCAGUGGGGAAUAUUGGACAAUGGGCGCAAGCCUGAUCCAGCCAUGCCGCGUGAGUGAUGAAGGCCCUAGGGUUGUAAAGCUCUUUUGUGCGGGAAGAUAAUGAUGGUACCGCAAGAAUAUGCCCCGGCUAACUUCGUGCCAGCAGCCGCGGUAAUACGAAGGGGGCUAGCGUUGCUCGGAAUCACUGGGCGUAAAGGGUGCGUAGGCGGGUCUUUAAGUCAGGGGUGAAAUCCUGGAGCUCAACUCCAGAACUGCCUUUGAUACUGAGGAUCUUGAGUUCGGGAGAGGUGGGUGGAACUGCGAGUGUAGAGGUGAAAUUCGUAGAUAUUCGCAAGAACACCAGGGGCGAAGGCGGCUCACCGGCCCGAUACUGACGCUGAGGCACGAAAGCGUGGGGAGCAAACAGGAUUAGAAACCCCGGUAGUCCAGAUG
rnacentral:rRNA from 1 species